rnacentral:rRNA from 1 species
GAUGAACGCUGGCGGCGUGCUUAACACAUGCAAGUCGAACGAAGCACCUUGAUUUGAUUCUUCGGAUGAAGAUCUUGGUGACUGAGUGGCGGACGGGUGAGUAACGCGUGGGUAACCUGCCCCAUACAGGGGGAUAACAGUUAGAAAUGACUGCUAAUACCGCAUAAGACCACAGCACCGCAUGGUGCAGGGGUAAAAACUCCGGUGGUAUGAGAUGGACCCGCGUCUGAUUAGGUAGUUGGUGGGGUAACGGCCUACCAAGCCGACGAUCAGUAGCCGACCUGAGAGGGUGACCGGCCACAUUGGGACUGAGACACGGCCCAAACUCCUACGGGAGGCAGCAGUGGGGAAUAUUGCACAAUGGGGGAAACCCUGAUGCAGCGACGCCGCGUGAGCGAUGAAGUAUUUCGGUAUGUAAAGCUCUAUCAGCAGGGAAGAAAAUGACGGUACCUGACUAAGAAGCACCGGCUAAAUACGUG